rnacentral:tmRNA from 4 species
GGGGACGUAAUGGUUUCGACAGGGGUGCGUGUAUCACAGAUAGCGAGUCGGCGUUUCCAUUUGGCCGUUAAACGGUGGAACUUUUAAAUUAAACGCAAAAGAAAACUUUGCAUUAGCUGCAUAAGCUACGUCUUACUCUGAUCUGCCCGUGAUCGGGGAUAAGGCGUCAAACUACGGGCUCGCCUAAUAUAUUUGCUCUAGUAUAGUAGGUUAAACAACAGAGCUGGGUUAAUAUAGUUUGUCGUUGUACGAAAGUUAGCUAAGAUCUAAAACAGCGUCUGCACUCGGAGAAGUCUGUGGGGCAACACUUUUGGACAGGGGUUCGAUUCCCCUCGUCUCCACCA